rnacentral:tRNA from 1 species
GGAGUUGUGGCUAGAUCACAGAGUAUCUGCUUUGCAUGCAGAAUGUCCAAGGUUCAAUCCCUGGUAUUUCCA